AUGCCACAAGUUAACUGGAUGAAUCAUUCAAUUGUAUAUUACAUGCCUGAGCAUUGUAUGAAUUCUAUUAUCUAUAGAUGGCUGGAAUUCUAUACACCGAAAUGUAACGUCAGUGUUACAAUGACUCAGUUCAGUCUCAUAUUGGCGCUAUUCCUCUUUCAAAAAAAAUAUUGGCGCUAUUCACCUGAACGGCGGAACCAAUGUGUUGUGGGCUGUACGUUUACUGUUUCCUAG
rnacentral:rRNA from 1 species